rnacentral:lncRNA from 1 species
UCUACAGUUGGUUGCAUAUCAUCAGCAAGUGGAAGCAGACCACUUGCUAAGAAACCACGGGUAAAUUUCUAAACAUGAUUUAACUGCUUGGGAAUGAUCUGAUUCCAAUGGGAAUUCAGGGUGUCUUGUUCUGGGCCUAGUCGGUAGUGCAAAUGUGUAAGUCCAUAGUAUGCUCUCUGUUGGCUGUUAAGGAUGCAGAGAAGCAGCCACCGACCGACCUUGAUCUUUGCCCUGUAAGCAUGUGUAGAUGGGAAAAUCCAUGUGUAACAAGGUCUUUCCCCCAGCAAGGAACAGAAAGGGCACAGACUUAUUGCUGGCCUUUGCUUUGCAUGGGUUUUCAGUGGAGGAUUUUCAAGAACACACAGAAGCACGUGCUCAGCUUUUUCCAAAACAACAUUAGAAAUCUGUAUCUUCUGAAGUAGUCAGUGUUCUUUGUCUUAUUCACACAGGAAAACUGUGUAAACAAGUAUAGAGUUGACUGUUGAACAAUCUGGAUUUGAACUGCAUGGCUCCACUUAACAGAAGAAUUUUUUUAAGUAGUAAAUAACACAGUAUUACCUGAUCUGUCUUUGGUUGAAUCUAUGGUUGGUUGAAUCUGUGGGUGCAGAAUCGAGGACACAGAGGACCGACUAUAAGUUACACACAGAAUUUCAACUGCACAGAGGGUCAGUGCCCCUAACCUCCUUAUUCCUCUUUUUGAUUUGGCUACCAGGGGCUUCAAAACCAAGUGUAAAGUCUAAUAACUCAGUAAAAACACACAUGGAGCUCCUAUUCCACGUCAAGCACCGUGAAAGUGCUGGUGGUUCUGAACUCAAGGACACAGUGUCAGCUUUCCAGCAAAAGUAUUUGGGCUCCAAAUGGGGAAGGAAUGAUUUCUUGCCUCCUCGAUCCCCAUGCUUUGGCUGCUUGCCGUGGAAGGGGAGAGCCCAGCUUUUCCCAUGGAACAUAACCCGUCUCCACUAAACUUAUUAGCACUAGAAAGGAGGUGGCUCAUUUUCCUCGUAAGUGGAGACAAAGGCUGCUGUUGUCCCAGGUGAAGGGCUUUUGAUGACUUGAUUAGCGCACAGCCUGGCCUGUGCUGAUGUUCGGAUGGAGACCAUCAGAUAUAAUCUGCCGCCUCAUUAGGCUGACACCGUGCCUGCCCCCUCUUGUAAUAAUGUCACCGGAGCACUUAAUAACCUAGGUAAGUGCUAUAAGCCUACACUGCAGAGGUAACCCCGGGUCAGCAGCGACAGAUGCUCUAAAAAGCAGUUGUUUUCUCAUUCUCGGCUCUAUUUAAAAUGUAACAAGCCAAGAGGUAUAAUAAAUGGGCAGAUUUAAAUAUCAGAGGAGCAGAACUUGCUACAAUAUAACUAUUUUUAUCUCUGAUUUGAAUAUGCAGGUUUUUAGGAUUGAGGGGAUGAUGCAAUAAAUUGGCUGAUGGCCAUGGCCUUAUGGAAGAGUUCAUUUAUUGUAGACAAGAGAAGGCAGAGAGGGGCCCUUAAGUAUUUAAAGAUACAUAAGAUGGAGAGUAUUUAUGAACUCUUCUCCAGAGAAAACAGGAGAAAUCUAAAUCUUACAUUGAUUCAAAGAGCAAUUAGGUUAGACUGCAAGAAGAACUUGCUGGAUAGAGACUGGAAAAGCCCAUGUGUGAGUGGAGUAGGCUUCCAUGUUUUAUACUGACAUCUAUGUGUAUAUGUAGUAUUUAAUAGUAGGCACUUAUUUUCUUUCUCAGAAUUGGAUUCCAGAAACUGUUGGGCUGUUACUAGGCUGUGUACCAGUUCAUAAAAUAUAUAACAUGCCCCGAGAGACCCAUAUGGAUGUGGCAGGAAUUGGACAGGUCAUUCUAUAUUUCGUGGGUUACAAGGAUGUGUGGGGAAGAGCUGGGGACAAUGGAGCCUCUGUUUUGGUGCCUUACAACUAACACCAUCUUCUCUCUGGGUCAGACCUGGCCAACUAUGGCACUGGGUAAGCUUACGACUCAAGGCAUCACAGGGUGUGCGGCUUCCUUAAAAAACCAAAAUGGGUAGGGUGGGGGAGGUGCCUUCAAAGCAGAACUGUCUGCAAUCAGCAAAGUGGAAAGACUACUUUCUGUCCCUGUGCUUCUCUGACAUAGGUGAGCACUCUUUCUCUGGUAAGCGAAGCCCAGAGAAGGUAAGUGGAAGAAGUCCAACAGAGAGCUGAAUUUGAUAGAGGUCAAGGGUGUCCCUCCAGGGGAAGGGGAGCCAAAUCCUUGGUCCUUAAAAUAACUCACCUACUGGGCCAUGAGGGCCGAGGUCCCUCCCAUAUGCUUAGAUUCAGAUAACUUCAUUGAACUUAUCCUUUUUUUUUUAAAUGGCCACACUCACUACACAUGCAAGUUCCAGGACCAGGGAUUGUAUCUGAGCCACAGCUGUGACCUACGCCACAGAUGUGGCAAUGCAGGAUCCUUAACCCCACUGCGCCAGACUGAGGAUUGAACCCACACCUCUGCAGUGACCCAAGCCACUGCAGUGGGAUCCUUAACCCACUGUGCCAGAGCGGGAACUCCAUCAUUGAACUUAUCCUUGCCUUAAGAAUACUUCUGUAGCAUUGGGUUUUUAUUCCUCAUAUUGUAGGGAAAGGUUUUCCCUAACUUUUGCAAUUGGAUGACCAAGAAAAUAAAUGCUAAUUUUGAACCCGUAGCAUGUUAGCCAGGUGAAUUUCAACAAAAUCCAGUAUCAAGGUACAAGUUCUUUCUCCACUAUUGAGUCUGCUCUCCAGAGAGAACUUUUCUCCAUUUGCCCUAUCUUUGAACAUGGGCUAGGCACAAAAGACAAGAAAAAGCUGCAGUUUGAAAAAAUAAACCUAUGUUAGAUGGGGUUGGGCUAAAACAUAAAGACAGCUAUGCUGUAGGUUUUUCAUCUGUAAAUUGUAUCUAACUUAGGCCACAUGCAUUUAUUUCGUGCCUUCGUAUGCUACCAGGUAUUGUGUAUAGCAGUAGACUUUGCCCUCUUGGGGCUCACUUUUUCUAAUGUGGGAAGCAAACAAAGAAGCAAUGAAAAUUAUGUUAAGGUAGUGAUAAGUGAUUGAAAAAGAAAGAAAGGUAAGGAGAUAGAUCUGAGUGAAUCCAAGGAGUAAGCUACAUGACUGCCUGGGGGAAUGGUGUAGGAGGGAUGCAGGAGUGGGAGUGCACGUGGAAUCUUUCCAGGAAAAAGGAACAACACCUGCCAAGGUCUGUAGGGCUAGAAUUUGCGUGAUAUGUCCUUUGAAAGUGGGAAGGGGGACAGAUCAGAAGGGUAGCCAGGAUUCAUCAAGAUGGCUUGCCAUGAAAUGAAGAAGUCUUCCAUUUGUUUGUACUGGUUUUGCCCUGCAGUUUUUGAGCACUUUUACAUGUGCCACUCAGGUAAUGAACCUCUUGAAAACCUUGUUGAUUGUGUUUGCUGGUUUAAUUGCACAGACAUGUUUGCCCUUGACAGUUCAUCAAUAAAGGAAUUUAAAGGGAAUGUGCAAAGGAAUUUAGAAUAUCUGCAGUUUAUUAGGCUUAUCACUAGAGAGUUCAUUUUCUUUAGAUGCUGUAUUUGAAACGAAUGAAUAAAAUGACUAGAGCCUUUUUGCCUGCUUAUUAUUUGAAUAGUUAUAUGAACAUGGUUAAAAUGCAGAUAUUUCCUUUUAGUUAGAAUAAGUCUUCCCUGUCUCCCAGUACUUAUAGAAGUAACUGUUGUCAGCGGAUUCUGUUAGCGUAUGUUUCUAGAGUGAAAAUAAAUACCCCUUCCCUCUAUAAAAAAUUAACGAGCAUGACUAUUAACAUUGCUUCUCAUCCUGAAGAUCUUGGAGUUCUUCAAUAUCAUAAGCAUGGUGUUGCCCCAUCCUUGUUAUAUGCAGUUAUCCAAGAAGACCACAAUUUAAUCAUUCCCACAUUGAUGGACAUUGAGGUUUUUCUGUCUUUUCCUGUAACAAUCAAUACUGUGAUGAAAAUCCUUGUACACUCUGCUUUGCACACAUGUUAAGUGUCUCUGUAGGAAAAAUAUUCCAGGAAUGAAUUGGUGGACAAGGGGGAAAUAGGUAUUUUUAAUUUUGCCAUAUAUUGCCAAAUUAAAACAAUUUAGACUUCUACCUUGGCUAGGAGUCCAUAUUUUUUCACAUCCUAACCAAUGCUUUUAUUACCCUUCUUUUGUAUUUGCAAAAUAAGCAAAAAAUACUUUUUAUUGUAGUUUUUUAUUUCUCUUAGAAUGAAGUUGACAUCAGAGAUGAAUAGUGGUGUAUUUUGGUCAAGGGAAUAUUGUCUGACCAUGAUUCUUUGGAAUAUAUGAGGACUUCUUAUAAACCUAGUACGUGGAUAAUUUUGUAAAUGGUCUCAUAUGUUGAAGAAAAAAAGAAAAUAUGAAUUCUGUUUGUUGAGAAUAGGGUUUCAAACGUAUUUUGGAAUUACUCUUGCUAGUUAAAUUGUUCACAUUUUCUAUAGCCCUAUUUUUUCCCACACCUGUUCUCAGAUUCCUUCUUUUAGAAGAGAACAUCUCCCACUCUAUGGGUUUUUCCAUUUGGCCUUAGAGUUGUCAGCUUUCACUUGACAUUUUUGUAGAUGAUGUUUAGGAAUAUUAUAGUUAUUUCUUCUUGAUGCAUUGCAUGCACAAAUUGUCCCUUUUUGUCUAUGAUAUUAAUACUGCUACACCAGGUUUUUCUCUUUUUAGGUGGUGUUUGGUGUAUCUUUGAUUUUCUGUAUUCUUUAUACAUUUCUAUCAUUUUGUUCUAGAGAUGUCAUUUGAAAACUGUAAAUGAAUCAGAUUUGUAGACACAUUCAGCAUUUGAUAUUCUAAUACAUGAAUUUCAUUAUGUCCAUAAUUUUUGAACUACUGGUAUGUUUGAAUUUAUUUCUGCUGUUAUUUUAUAUUAUGUAAAACCUUUCUUUCCUGUUAAAAAUUGUCUGCCUUCUAUAGGAUUAAUCCAAUUUUAUUUUUCCUUUCCCUUCUACCUAUUUGGAAGCUGGUUUAGUUUUCUAAGGCUCCUGUAACAAAGUGCCACCGGCUAGGUGGCUCAAAACUGUAGAAAUGUAUUUCUCUCACAGUUCUAGAGACUAGGAGUCUGAAAGCAAGGUGUCUGCAGGGCUAUACUCCUCUGAAACCUCUUUGUA